AUUGAACGCUGGCGGCAGGCUUAACACAUGCAAGUCGAGCGAGCGGCGGACGGGUGAGUAAUGUCUGGGAAACUGCCUGAUGGAGGGGGAUCACUACUGGAAACGGUAGCUAAUACCGCAUACCAUCAGAUGUGCCCACAUGGGAUGAGCUGGUAGGUGGGGUAAUGGCUCACCUAGGCGACGAUCCCUAGCUGGUCUGAGAGGAUUACCAGCCACACUGGAACUGAGACACGGUCCAGACUCCUACGGGAGGGAGCAGUGGGGAAGAUUGCACAAUGGGCGAAAGCCUGAUAGAGCCAUGCCGCGUGUGUGAAGAAGGCCUUCGGGUUGUAAAGCACUUUCAGCGAGGAGGCGUUACUCACAGAAGAAGCACCGGCUAACUCCGUGCCAGCAGCCGCGGUAAUAC
rnacentral:rRNA from 1 species